rnacentral:piRNA from 1 species
UAUAAAUACAGAAAAUUUAUUGGCAGCAGCC